AGGGGCAUGGGAGGGGCCGGUGGUGCGGCUUUAGAUGGAGCUGGUACUAAGACCCAGGACUUCUGGGGCUUGAAGACCCUGGGUCUGCGGGAAGCCCCUGCUGAGCGUCCCUCGCCUACCCCGUGGCCAGUGGCUUUUCAGUGCAGAAACCACCUUAUCUAUGUGACAAAGCUCGGGCCAUCAGUGGCAAGGUAGAUUGGCAUCACGUACCUUUGAUACAACAACCUGAGAAGGACGUCACUUCUGCGAUAUUCCUGCCAAAAAUGCAUCUCCGCAUUCCGAUCGUGAGAACAUCCUGGGCACACCCAAACUGAGAGACACCAUACAAAGUGACUGGUCAGUGCACUCAAAGGCAAAAAGCUCAUGGAAGGCAACAGAAGACAGGAGAAGUGACAGCUAAAAGCAGCGUGGAAUCCUGGAAGGGACAAAGAACACGAGCAGAGAAACUGUAGAAGCUGAGUGAGGGCAGCGGUCCAGCUUGCGCUGUUUUGCUGGGGUGAUUCUGGCUUUGAUGACCUUGUUUUGAGCCUCAGGUUUUCCUUAGGAUUCCGUGUGUGUUCCCCGCCUGGCCCCUCCGCAGCGACUCUGCUGUCAGUGGCUGCCCCAGGGUGGAGAGUGACCUACCUCCGGCUUCUCCUGUCCCGGCUUCUCCUGUGCCAGCCGGUCAGGCACACUGUAAGAUCCCCACAGCGGGGUGCCCCCACCCUCACCUGGACCCUACACCAUCACCAUCACACCUUCUCGUGUGUCAUAAACCCCACAACACAUUGUUAUGAUUUUUGCUUUAAAUCAAUUAUCUUUUAAAGGGAUUAAAAUAAUGUGAGCUGUGAAGUUGGUAUGUUAAAAGUGGAAGAGAUGCCACAGCCAAACCCAAACGUUACAGUAUAUUUUCAGUGAAUUCAUGCAGUUGCCACUGAACACUGCAGCGUAGACAGGAAUGAAUCCGCAGACGUUACCAAGAGUGAAGGAGGCCAGGCAUGCAAAGGACACCUGGCCAGGUUCCGACUGGGGAGGUUCAAGAGCAGAGGAGACUCGUGGGGGGUGAGGAGGUCAGAAGCAUGGGGACAACAAUGCAGGGGCUCCAGGGCUCUGGGGGCUGGAGAUGACUGGGUGCUGGUUGCUGACAUCAGUAACCCAUCAGCUGCUCACGCCUAAGAGGUGUGUGCAUGACUAAGUGUGGGUGAUGCCACCGUCAAGACAAGGCAGAUGUGCGGCGUGCUCGCCGGUCACAGACUCUUCCCGGUGUUCACAGUGUAUGCACUGAUUGACCGAUUGUUGAGUCAGGGGCACUUGCCUGAAGCCACGU
rnacentral:lncRNA from 10 species